UACAGGAGGGUGCGAGCGUUAAUCGGAAUUACUGGGCGUAAAGCGUGCGUAGACGGUAGCGUAAGUCAGAUGUGAAAGCCCCGGGCUCAACCUGGGAAUUGCAUUUGAGACUGCUCUGCUCGGGUGCGGAAGAGGGAAGCGGAAUUUCCGGUGUAGCGGUGAAAUGCGUAGAUAUCGGAAGGAACACCAGUGGCGAAAGCGGCUUCCUGGUCCGACACCGACGUUCAGGCACGAAAGCGUGGGGAGCAAACAGG
rnacentral:rRNA from 1 species